rnacentral:rRNA from 1 species
CAGUCGCCGCGGGAUACGGAGGAUCCAAGCGUUAUCCGGAAUCAUUUGGUUUAAAGGGUCCGUAGGCGGUCUUGUAAGUCAGUGGUGAAAGCCCAUCGCUCAACGGUGGAACGGCCAUUGAUACUGCAGGACUUGAAUUAUUGGGAAGUAACUAGAAUAUGUAGUGUAGCGGUGAAAUGCUUAGAGAUUACAUGGAAUACCAAUUGCGAAGGCAGGUUACUACCAAUUGAUUGACGCUGAUGGACGAAAGCGUGGGUAGCGAACAGGAUUAGAUACCCCUGUAGUCCCUGUCUCUUAUACA